UAGGGAAUAUUGGACAAUGGGUGAGAGCCUGAUCCAGCCAUGCCGCGUGCAGGAAGAAGGCGUUAUGCGUUGUAAACUGCUUUUUGCCAGGGGAUAAAAUGACCGUGCGCGGUUAAUUGAAGGUACCUGGUGAAUAAGCCACGGCUAACUACGUGCUAGCAGCCGCGGUAAUACGUAGGUGGCAAGCGUUGUCCGGAUUUAUUGGGUUUAAAGGGUGCGUAGGCGGUUUAUUAAGUCAGUGGUGAAAGACGGUCGCUCAACGAUUGCAGUGCCAUUGAUACUGGUAGACUUGAGUAUGAUUGAGGUAGCUGGAAUGGAUAGUGUAGCGGUGAAAUGCAUAGAUAUUAUCCAGAACACCAAUUGCGUAGGCAAGUUACUAAGUCAUAACUGACGCUGAGGCACGAAAGUGUGGGUAUCAAACAGGAUUAGAUACCCCCGAGUCCCUGAGCGGGCUGGCAAGGCGCAU
rnacentral:rRNA from 1 species